rnacentral:rRNA from 1 species
AGAUUAAAGAUUUAUCGGUGAUGGAUGGGGAUGCGUCUGAUUAGCUUGUUGGCGGGGUAACGGCCCACCAAGGCGACGAUCAGUAGGGGUUCUGAGAGGAAGGUCCCCCACAUUGGAACUGAGACACGGUCCAAACUCCUACGGGAGGCAGCAGUGAGGAAUAUUGGUCAAUGGACGAGAGUCUGAACCAGCCAAGUAGCGUGCAGGAUGACGGCCCUAUGGGUUGUAAACUGCUUUUAUAAGGGAAUAAAGUGAGCCUCGUGAGGCUUUUUGCAUGUACCUUAUGAAUAAGGACCGGCUAAUUCCGUGCCAGCAGCCGCGGUAAUACGGAAGGUCCGGGCGUUAUCCGGAUUUAUUGGGUUUAAAGGGAGCGUAGGCCGGAGAAUAAGCGUGUUGUGAAAUGUCGGGGCUCAACCUGGGCAUUGCAGCGCGAACUGUG